rnacentral:rRNA from 1 species
GACCUGGCUGGGUGGUCCGCUUAACGGCGUGUACUGUUCGGCUGGGCCUUACCUCUUGGUGAGCCAGUGUGCCCUUUAUUGGUGUGCAUUGGGGAACCAGGACUUUUACUUUGAAAAAAUUAGAGUGUUCAAAGCAGGCCUUUGCUCGAAUAUGUUAGCAUGGAAUAAUAAAACAGGACG